rnacentral:rRNA from 1 species
AUGAAUACACUCCGCUCAUGGCGAACAGGACCUGGACGCUCGUGCCCCGGCCCAGGGGUGCCAACAUUGUCACGGGCAAAUGGCUCUUCAGGCAUAAGCUCAAAGCUGAUGGAACCCUGGAUCGCUACAAGGCAAGAUGGGUCGUCCGCGGGUUCUCGCAACGCCCUGGUGUGGACUUUGAUGAGACAUUCUCGCCAGUGGUCAAAGCAGCUACCAUUCGUGCUGUCCUCACCGUCGCCGCCGCGCGCGACUAGCCCGUGCGCCAAAUGGACGUGA